UGGGCCCUGUGCUGUACAAGGGUAGAAUCAACCUCCUACAGGACCACCUACAGGACCCGAGCUGGGGAGGGGCGGUGGCUUUAUGCUGACAAAACAACAGCUGCCCGUUAUCCCCUCCCCGGUUUAGCUCCAUCACAACCCCACCUCCGUGUGCUUACCGGAGUGGCCAUGGGCUGUCUUGGAAUGGGCAGAAUGUCGUAAGAUGAGGAGAAGAAACAGAGGCUCAGCGAGUGAGGUCGCAUACCCGAGGUCACCCAGCAAGCAGUAUUCCAACCCAAUUCUCCAUCCGAAGCUCUCAGCAGCAUUCCGGAAACAGCGCCAGGCCCCCUGGAGGAGCCGGUCUGCUGCUGGCUGCGGGGCUGGAAGGGGCUUGCGGUUCCCUAGCCUCCCUCAGAGCUGCUGGGUUCCUGGAGGAGAGGCUUGUGCUGCCCCCAGGGGAGGGAGGGCAAAAUUGGCCUAAGACCAAGGCAGCCGCAGGAGGGGCCAGCCUCUUGCAAAUGAAAUAUUCAUGGGGGUUAUUGAAUCAAGUUUUAUUGGAAUAAAAAUACACUUGC
rnacentral:lncRNA from 1 species